UCAAUUCACAAGAAUUUCAUAACAUGUCCUAAGGCAAGUCUACAUUUCAAGCAGCAAACAUUGUGCUCGAUUUUAUCCUCCUGUUAAAUUCUCACUGAAAUUUAAAUACGUCAGAAUAUGAGUAAUACUACCUUCUACAGACCGUUGCUUUUUAAAAUAAAAAAAACGUAAGAUGGGGUCACUGAUAGCAUCUGCAAACUCAUUGUUGAGGACCUAGCAACACGGGUUUGGCCAGGCGCUCCUUAGUUAUGCUCCAGAGGAUGCACAAUAAUCAACCGCACCAAGGUCGACAUCAACAAGCAGGGCGUACAAAAUAGGUCCUGUAUUAAUCAGCUCGUGAAAAACUUGCAGUUGUCAAAUGAUUAACCAGUUUCCAUAGUACCGUCAUAAAUUUUAAUACAACAAACUUUUA